AUAUAUAUAGUAUAAAAAUUACAAUUAACUUCCAAUUAAUAAAUUUUAUUAAAUUAAAUAUAUAUA
rnacentral:tRNA from 1 species